ACUACUGAGAAGUCAUCAAAGGAUUGCGAGUGUAAAACAGAGUCAUCUACUACAAGGACUACUAAAAUGAUUACUUGGAAGCCAUUACCGGAGUCACAAGAUAAAACUGGAUCAGGUUGCAAAACGUGUAAGAAACAAGAGAGCGAAAAUAGUGGAGCGAAGUGCGAGGAACGUCCUAAACGACAACAAAAGCUACAACAAAGAUUUGGUUUAAACCGUUACUGACUUCAGAUGAGUUUAUUAGCAAGGAUCCGAACAAUUUCUUCAAGAAACCCCUUGCGGUGCAAGUCAACAAUGGACAGCUUCUUAAGAUUCAAGUCAAAAAGCAAAAAGUUACUUUUCAAUAUUUUAAUGAGAGACUUAGACAGGUUAUAUCUAAACAAGCGUUGAAUAAAUUGGCAAAAAAAUUGAAAAAACCGAUUACUAACAAGGAAAAGGAUGAUGCUUUAAAGAUGCUGGCUUAUUUAGCGUCCAAGGAAGCCGUAAAGCAAGACAUAAAAGCACCCUCAAAGAAGAAACCGUCACACGGAAGACACAAACAGUCUAAGCAACUCUGCCUCUUCACCCCGGUUAAAGAAUAUUGUGUUAUGCAGACGAAGGAUUAGUAAAAAUUUAUACUUUGCGAUUGGGUGUCUCGGCGAUAUUCAAAUUAAAUAAAACAAAUAAAAAAAAUUGACAGUA